GAGAGAGCUUGCUUUUUCAAACUUAGUGGCGAACGGGUGAGUAACGCGUGAGUAACCUGCCCUGGAGUGGGGGACAACAGUUGGAAACGACUGCUAAUACCGCACAAGCCCACGGCCCGGCAUCGGGUUGAGGGAAAAGGAUUUAUUCGCUUCAGGAUGGACUCGCGUCCAAUUAGCUAGUUGGUGAGGUAACGGCCCACCAAGGCGACGAUUGGUAGCCGGACUGAGAGGUUGAACGGCCACAUUGGGACUGAGACACGGCCCAGACUCCUACGGGAGGCAGCAGUGGGGGAUAUUGCACAAUGGGGGAAACCCUGAUGCAGCGACGCCGCGUGGAGGAAGAAGGUUUUCGGAUUGUAAACUCCUGUCGUUGGGGACGAUAAUGACGGUACCUAACAAGAAAGCACCGGCUAACUACGUGCCAGCAGCCGCGGUAAAACGUAGGGUGCAAGCGUUGUCCGGAAUUACUGGGUGUAAAGGGAGCGCAGGCGGACCGGCAAGUUGGAAGUGAAAUCUAUGGGCUCAACCCAUGAAUUGCUUUCAAAACUGCUGGCCUUGAGUAGUGCAGAGGUAGGUGGAAUUCCCGGUGUAGCGGUGGAAUGCGUAGAUAUCGGGAGGAACACCAGUGGCGAAGGCGACCUACUGGGCACCAACUGACGCUGAGGCUCGAAAGCAUGGGUAGCAAACAGGAUUAGAUACCCUGGUAGUCCAUGCCGUAAACGAUGAUUACUAUGUGUUGGAGGAUUGACCCCUU
rnacentral:rRNA from 1 species